CGAGGGGUCAUGAUUUUGGGGGUAUAUGCAACCCCAAAAAUCAUGUCCACCCGAAAACAAAGGCAUAUCUAGUUUUGUUGGAUCUGUAGUCAUUGGUAUCUGUUUGAUCUGUUCAUAUCACGCAAAUCACGUGUGGUAUAGACGUGUUUCUGUAUGCUGUUUGUAUUUUUCAUAAUUAAUACAUAAGUCAUUUAAUUUAUUUAAUAUAAUAUAAGAUAAUGGAUUUCUUAGUACUAUUGCACAUAUUUGCAUUUAGUAUAAUGAUGAAUAUUGUGUCAACAGAAUUUUCUGCUGAUGACUGUAAAAGUUUAGGUUUUAAUAAGGCUAAUUUACUUUGUUCCACCUGCGAAGAAUUCAACAAACGAGAAUUAACUGAAAUAUGGAACAACUGUAAGGAAUGUUGUUUAAAAGAUGAUGAUUAUGAUACAUCCGGAUUAAAACGUUAUCCACGCGCUAUUCUUGAAGUUUGCACAUGCAAGUUUGGUGCAUAUCCACAGAUUCAAGCUUUCAUAAAAAGCAAUCGACCAAGCAAAUAUAAAAAUUUACAAAUAAAAUAUGUCAGAGGCUUGGAUCCAAUAAUUAAGUUACUAGACGCAGAUAAUAAAGUUGAAGACAUUCUGGACAUACACAAGUGGGAUACAGAUUCUGUUGAUGAAUUCUUAGCAACUCAUCUUUCUAUGGACUGAUAAUCCUGGUAAACUUAAAUACAAGAAAGGGCACAAUGCUAAUUUUUUAGCAAUUAUACCGUAUGUAUGUAAGAAACACCAUACAUACAGAGAUAGGUGAGAGAAUGAGACUUACUGAAGUUUGAAGAAACUAUUCACAAUCACCAGGAGCUUACCUUUUUAAAACAGGUGCUUCUGCUUUUUCAUUAUCAGAGGUCUUAACGUCCUGCUGUUCCUUUUUGGCAGUCUGAUUUUGUUUAGAGGCAGGAAUUGGUUUAGAAGAUUUAUCGUUGCGAUGUUGAUUUUGGUUUCCAUUCAUACGUUGAUUGCCAGACUGGGGUGCACGAGAUUGUUGUGCAGAUGGACCACGUCGCCCAGCAGGGCCAUCACGGGCGCGAUUGCCCAUCUAGUCAUGUAGGUCAAAUGACCAAACCGUCAUGAGAAGUAUCUGAUAUAAUUGCGAUUCUUCUCGAAUCGAAUCUGGUUUUAAAAACCCAUUGGGAUAUUUGAGGGAGAAAAAUAUUCUACACAAUUCGGAAGCAGGACGUAUUUAUACAGUGUUACAACGAACACCAAAGCUGCAAUGAUGAAUAGAAGACUUGGGUUCACCAGAAGUGGACCAAGCCAGAGGAGAAAUAUAUCUGCAAGUCUGUACUGAAAUUUUCUACACAAAGCCAACAUUAACUUCCACUAUUAAAAACGUGAAAUUGUAUAUUGAAAUCAAUCACACGUCUUGUUAUGGUGUUUUCAAAUGAAAUAACUUUGCGAUCGUACUUAAUUCAUCGACGAAAAUCGUGUGCAACAAAACUACUCCAACAAUAAGAAUUGUUUAUGUUUAAUAACUUCAGAGGAUAGCUAUAUAGUAUUGUCAUCCAUUGACUGAAAACCUUAUUAGUGAGUCAAUCAAUGAACAUAAGAAAGAAAAUUUCUAACUUUCACGAUAAGGAUUGAUGUUGUUGAUGUAAAAAAAAAAUAUGUGUGGAUCAAAGAUUGCCUCUAAAAUUUCCAUUUGAAAAGAUCCACGUUUUAAAUAAAAAUUAUAAUAGUCAUACCUUGUUAUAUGGUUGCGGUCGUUGAUUCUUCAUUGGGUGCCUAAUGGGACGAUCAUUAAAACGUCCAGAAGAAAAGUUUUGUUGAUUUGGAAAGUUUGGACCUGGCCCAGAAAAAUUAUUGCCAAGGCUGAGAAGCGAUGGUACUUGCUAAAAGUACAAAAUUCCAUUAAUCAAAUUUGUAACAAUCGCAAGUAACAGUUUUAAGAAAAAUCUUUUUACCUGUGGUUGUACUUCUUGUUGGGUACGUAAUAAAUUUGUAAGAAGAUUGCUA